ACUAUUUUAAGAAAAUAGAAGACUAUCAUUUACAGCUGGUAUGGCCCUGUGGUGGUGUGGACCCAGACUUCAAACACAGAUGAAGAUCGAAAACUGAUAUCCCGCAUCUGAUAUCAAAAGUUGAAGAAAGUGAACAAAAACAGCAGAGGAAAGUUCAUAAAAGCAGGAUGAGUUGCAGAAAAACUCCUCAGACACCGGAUUAAAGAAGGAAGAGGUUUUUUAUUUGUCCGGGAGCGUCGGCAGACUCGCGUCUUAAGAGCCGAGCUCCCCGAAAAAGAAAUUCCUAGCCCUUUUAAGGCCUUACAACUCUAAGGAGUCUACGUGAAAGAGUCAUAAUAGAUCAAACAAAUUAAGAAUUCAGAGCCCAAUCCUAACUUCAAGCCAAGAAGUAAAAAAAGGAAGAAAAAAUCAAGACGCUCAGAACAGAACUCCAGCAAUAUUGAACCCAGGAAAAACGUCUUCACAAAUACAAAAGUGUUUCAAGGAAAAAUUGAAGUCACUCCUGCCCACAUCCACUGCCCAGUGUAACCGCCCUUAAAGAUUGCUGUGUAUUUGUGUACUAAUUUUUCUGUGUUUAUAAAAUCAUUCAUAUAUUUAUUAAUAACAUGUUUAGAAGAAAUCUCUGCAUUAACCUCAGGGCACACAGCUGUCUUUGAUCGCCCCCAACUCCUCAGAAUGUCCUGCCUCCAUUUCACUCUCCCACAGCUGACUUUCUCCCAUGCUUAGGCCCCCCAAGAGCACCUGCUGAAAAACUACUUCCAACCUUAAGCUCAGGCCCUGACUCACAGCCCUUUAUUCUAACAGAGCCCCUAGGUGUUUGGGCAGAGGUAGGUGGGUAUUACGAGGGAAGCGGGAGGAGGACAGUGAGGCCCCUUAAGUUCUUUGUCCUGGCCAGGCGGCUGCCCUCCUGCAUUACAGGUCUCCACAGGAUAGGUCCCAAUUCCCAACUACUUUCAAUUGGUGGGGUGUGGAUUGGCAGGAUGGGUUAAUGCUCUGCCACAACUUUCUCACUUUAUAAUGGGAGCUGUAUGGUAAAUUCACCUGAUAGUAAUAACUUAAGCAUAUCCUGAGAAUGAUCCUGUAUGGCAGACGCACCUGAAUCCUGAAUGUGUGUUUGAAGUUCUGAGCUAAGAAAUCUGGGGGUGGCCAACACAGAGAUUCAUUUCUUAUUUAUGAAGAAGCUGUGAACCCCCAGCCGUCCCGUCCCAUGGAAUGUGGGCUAUACAGGGGUUCAAGGCCCUGUAUUUUGGGUUAAAUGAAGACUGCCAGGUGGAGGUUGUUAGGGGGAGGCUGUGAAGUGAAAAUACUAUAUAAGGCCGGGCGCGGUGGCUCACACCUGUAAUCCCAGCACUUUGGGAGGCCGAGGUGGGCGGAUCAU
rnacentral:lncRNA from 1 species